rnacentral:rRNA from 1 species
UACGAAGGGGCUAGCGUUGCUCGGAAUGACUGGGCGUAAAGGGCGCGUAGGCGGAUUGAUUAGUUAGGCGUGAAAUUCCUGGGCUUAACCUGGGGCUGCGCUUAAUACAGUCAGUCUAGAGUGUGGAAGAGGGUCGUGGAAUUCCCGAGUGAUAGAGGUGAAAUUCGUAGAUGAUUGGGAAGAACACCGGUGGCGAAGGCGGCGACCUGGUC